rnacentral:lncRNA from 1 species
AGUGACACAGGCAGAUGACUUCCCUGCUCCUCCUGGGUCUGUCCUAGCUGGAGAGACAGGUAUUGGAAAAGGAAAACAAUACAUAAGCUAACAAACAAUAAGGGGCUGGGGUCUUGUUUGGAGGAGUGGUCAGGGAAGGCUUCUUGGAGGCGGUGGCCUUAAAGGACGCGAAGGGGCAGGUGCAGGGCGAGCCUGGCGGUCACGGGUUCCACCUGCUCCUGGUCUCGCGGCAUCUGGUCCCCAAGUCGAAGACCCAGGGCCGUCAGGACGACGAGGAGGAGAGAAUCGCAGCCGACCGCCAACAGUGGCCGAAAUAGCUCAGUUGGGAGAGCGUUAGACUGAAGAUCUAAAGUUUCAAACAGCUCCGAGCAGCAGCCACGGGAAGCCAGAGGGAUGGAAACUUGCGCGCAACUCCUCAUCCGGGGAUAUCCACCAAGGCCGAGUUUUUCCUGACCCCAUUUCUUUAAUUUCGUAAACGUUUAUUAAUCUCUGUUGCAUGUUUGUUGAUGUCUGUCCGUUAGUUUUUGCUGUUUAUUAACGUCUGCUGUCUGAACCUAGCGGCUAAAUCAAGGAUCCGGCAGGAAACGGCUUCUUUAAGACGGAAUUAAGCCAAACGGGACUUUGCAUUCUUUGGUUUUGUAGGAAAAGAUAAAAUAUUGAACCAUUGGAAACAUAUUACUAUUUAGGGGAAGCUAAGCAUGCCUUAAAGGGGAGGUCUGAGGAGCGGCGGGUAGCGCCCGUCCUCGUUAGUAUAGUGGUGAGUAUCCCCGCCUGUCACGCGGGAGACCGGGGUUCGAUUCCCCGACGGGGAGGCUGUCUAUGUUUUACCAUUCGUCUCUAUUUUUUUCUUUUUUCUUCUAAACAAAUAAAAUUCUCCAACUGCCGUAGAAAUUCCUUAUUCUCCUCGCGAAGAAUACACCCGACAGGCAGGCGACACUCCCCCUGACAGCAGUUGCCUUUCGGCAGCUUAGUCCCAGGCACGCUCUGGCUCCCCAGUGUCACGUGGUUGCAAAAAAGAGUCCCCGUUCUUUCGCUGAAGCGGUGUUUUCGAUUCCUGCAGGCCCACGGCGCGGCCGCAGAGCGUUAGCUGUACAUGAUCGUUUCCCAGAAACCGUCAGGUUCUCAGCCCGGAGCUGCUCGCUCGGCUGCAAACCUCCCCUCUUCCUACGUC